UAGCCAUUGUGGGCCUGUGGUGAGGAAGCGGCAUUCGGUUGGCCAAACUGUGCAAUGAAACGAAAAAAAUUGCGUUAAUUUACAACGACAAAAACAACAGUAUUUUUAGCAAAAUUGCAACAUUCGCAGCGAGCUUUCGAAUAAGAGAACAAUUUUUGCAUACUCACCUCGGCGCUGGAUGCAACCAAAGCGCUGCUGUUACCUGAUGCCACACCCGAUUCAUCUAAAGAGACAUCGUUUGGUGGACAUGAGUCUGUGGGGCUGGCGGUUAUGUCCGUCGCCACCGAAAUUUCCUGUUGUAUUUGCUCGAUAUCCGCUGUCGUAUUGGCAGUGGGCAACGAUUCGCUCGUAUUGUCGUUUAAUGGGGAUUCUAAAAAUUGUGUCACAGCACCGUCAAGUUCUUCUUGUGGUGAUUCUUUAACUUCGAUUCUGCCGUCCUUGUUAACUUCAACCUAUUUCCGUUGCAGACGAAAUUUCGGUUGGAAGUGGUUUCGCAGGUUAAUUUUAGUUAGAAAGCGCAUUGAAUCAUUAGAGUUACAAGCAAUUGAAGAAAGCGAGCCAAAACGAAGAAAAAAUACCUUUGUAUGCAAAAUCUGUACGAGUUGUCACUGCCAAUCGUUUAAUGAUUCGGAAAAUGUCUUAUAAAAACAUAAACAAUUAAAGAGUGAAAUUAACAAAAACAAGGUAAAACAAGGAAACCCCGAAUUUAGAUUUGAUAUUUAUGAAUAUUUUUCUUCUCAGUGUACUGACGCUCACCGCUAACGCAUCAUAAUUGACGGGAUA